UACGUAGGGUGCAAGCGUUGUCCGGAAUUAUUGGGCGUAAAGGGCUCGUAGGCGGUUUGUCGCGUCGGCCGUGAAAACCUGGGGCUCAACCCCGGGCCUGCAGCCGAUACGGGCAAGCUAGAGUUCGGUAGGGGAGACUGGAAUUCCUGGUAUAGCGGUGAAAUGCGCAGAUAUCAGGAGGAACACCGGUGGCGAAGGCGGGUCUCUGGGCCGAUACUGACGCUGAGGUGCGAAAGCGUGGGGAGCAAACAGG
rnacentral:rRNA from 1 species